GCAUUCGUGGUUCAAUGGUAGAAUUCUUGCCUUUCAUGUGUGACACCAGAGUUUGAUUCUCAGCCAAUGUA
rnacentral:tRNA from 1 species